CCUUUAAAGAAAGCGUAAUAGCUCACUAGUCGAGUCGGCCUGCGCGGAAGAUGUAACGGGGCUCAAACCACACACCGAAGCUGCGGGUGUCACGCAAGUGACGCGGUAGAGGAGCGUUCUGUAAGCCUGUGAAGGUGAGUUGAGAAGCUUGCUGGAGGUAUCAGAAGUGCGAAUGCUGACAUGAGUAACGACAAUGGGUGUGAAAAACACCCACGCCGAAAGACCAAGGGUUCCUGCGCAACGUUAAUCGACGCAGGGUUAGUCGGUUCCUAAGGCGAGGCUGAAAAGCGUAGUCGAUGGGAAACAGGUUAAUAUUCCUGUACUUCUGGUUACUGCGAUGGAGGGACGGAGAAGGCUAGGCCAGCUUGGCGUUGGUUGUCCAAGUUUAAGGUGGUAGGCUGAAAUCUUAGGUAAAUCCGGGGUUUCAAGGCCGAGAGCUGAUGACGAGUCGUCUUUUAGAUGACGAAGUGGUUGAUGCCAUGCUUCCAAGAAAAGCUUCUAAGCUUCAGGUAACCAGGAACCGUACCCCAAACCGACACAGGUGGUCGGGUAGAGAAUACCAAGGCGCUUGAGAGAACUCGGGUGAAGGAACUAGGCAAAAUGGCACCGUAACUUCGGGAGAAGGUGCGCCGGCUAGGGUGAAGGAUUUACUCCGUAAGCUCUGGCUGGUCGAAGAUACCAGGCCGCUGCGACUGUUUAUUAAAAACACAGCACUCUGCAAACACGAAAGUGGACGUAUAGGGUGUGACGCCUGCCCGGUGCCGGAAGGUUAAUUGAUGGGGUUAGCGCAAGCGAAGCUCUUGAUCGAAGCCCCGGUAAACGGCGGCCGUAACUAUAACGGUCCUAAGGUAGCGAAAUUCCUUGUCGGGUAAGUUCCGACCUGCACGAAUGGCGUAACGAUGGCGGCGCUGUCUCCACCCGAGACUCAGUGAAAUUGAAAUCGCUGUGAAGAUGCAGUGUAUCCGCGGCUAGACGGAAAGACCCCGUGAACCUUUACUGUAGCUUUGCACUGGACUUUGAGCCUGCUUGUGUAGGAUAGGUGGGAGGCUUUGAAGCGUGGACGCCAGUUCGCGUGGAGCCAUCCUUGAAAUACCACCCUGGCAUGCUUGAGGUUCUAACUCUGGUCCGUGAUCCGGAUCGAGGACAGUGUAUGGUGGGCAGUUUGACUGGGGCGGUCUCCUCCUAAAGAGUAACGGAGGAGUACGAAGGUGCGCUCAGACCGGUCGGAAAUCGGUCGCAGAGUAUAAAGGCAAAAGCGCGCUUGACUGCGAGACAGACACGUCGAGCAGGUACGAAAGUAGGUCUUAGUGAUCCGGUGGUUCUGUAUGGAAGGGCCAUCGCUCAACGGAUAAAAGGUACUCCGGGGAUAACAGGCUGAUACCGCCCAAGAGUUCAUAUCGACGGCGGUGUUUGGCACCUCGAUGUCGGCUCAUCACAUCCUGGGGCUGAAGCCGGUCCCAAGGGUAUGGCUGUUCGCCAUUUAAAGUGGUACGCGAGCUGGGUUUAGAACGUCGUGAGACAGUUCGGUCCCUAUCUGCCGUGGACGUUUGAGAUUUGAGAGGGGCUGCUCCUAGUACGAGAGGACCGGAGUGGACGAACCUCUGGUGUUCCGGUUGUCACGCCAGUGGCAUUGCCGGGUAGCUAUGUUCGGAAAAGAUAACCGCUGAAAGCAUCUAAGCGGGAAACUUGCCUCAAGAUGAGAUCUCACUGGGAACUUGAUUCCCCUGAAGGGCCGUCGAAGACUACGACGUUGAUAGGCUGGGUGUGUAAGCGUUGUGAGGCGUUGAGCUAACCAGUACUAAUUGCCCGUGAGGCUUGACCAUAUAACACCCAAACA
rnacentral:rRNA from 1 species